UACGAAGGGGGCUAGCGUUGCUCGGAAUCACUGGGCGUAAAGGGUGCGUAGGCGGUCAGCACAAGUCAGUUGUGAAAUCUCCGGGCUUAACUCGGAAAGGUCAACUGAUACUGUGCGACUAGAGUGCAGAAGGGGCAACUGGAAUUCUCGGUGUAGCGGUGAAAUGCGUAGAUAUCGAGAGGAACACCUGCGGCGAAGGCGGGUUGCUGGGCUGACACUGACGCUGAUGCGCGAAAGCUAGGGGAGCGAACGGG
rnacentral:rRNA from 1 species